ACCAGGCUGGCUUUGAACUCACAGAGGUCCACCUGCCUCUGCUGACAGUCCUGAGAUUAAAGGUGUGUUUCGUGCUAAGGAUUUCAUACCUUCCAAUUUCAGUACUUGCUGUGACGUGUCUGAGCUGUCAAUCCCUGAGCCUCCUGGCCAGGGUGGACACGUGUGCGGAGCAGCCCAGGAGGAAGAGGGCUGGUUCUAUUCAGCGUUUCACUCUCCAGUGUUUGCAGCUAGUGUUUCCCUUGCUGGUGUUGUUUAGAAAGGGUCCAGGCUCCGUGCUGAAACCUAAUCCCAUGUCCCGCAGUGCCCGCUGAGUGCCGUGGAGAACGCUCUCGUCGGGGAAAGUUUAGUAUCGUGUCAGCUGUGCUCACUAACAGGGCUUUAAAGACAAAUGCAAGCAAGGAGAGAUCACUGAUUUCUGCUCUCCCUUUGAAGAUCAGGGCUCAGUCUCUGUCCCUGUCCACGAAUGCUCUUCUGUGUCGGAAGCACCUGGUGGGCCAUGUGGAAACCCCUGACUCCCCACAAGUCACACGUCUCUCUCACUCACCCUCAGCCUUCCUGUAAGGUCACCUGAUCAGUGAGGCGUACUCAAGAGGUGGCUGGGAAAGAGGUCUUUGUGAGCCCUGAAACACUUUUGGAAAUACUACGUCUUUUUUCAGCUACCAGAUACUUCAGUAGGGGCAGCCAAACACCCACAGUGUCGCAGAACAGGCAGGCCUUGAGUCAGACGUCGCUGUAUCUCUCUGGAGCCUGUCUCCUUUGAAAGUGGACAUCGACCCCAGUCGUAAAGGUGGUGCUCAAGGGGACCUGGAGCCUCCAUUGUGAGGCGGUUGCAGUGCUGUGAAGGGAAGGGUUAGGUAACUGACCUCUAUCCCAGCAAGGAAUGCCUACAGGAAGAACAGCAGACCCGGACCCUUCUCAGCGGAACCCAGUGCAAUGACCCAUCACGCCUCGCCAGUCCCUCAGUGUGUCCCCACACCCAGAGAAUCCACAGGUCACACGCAACAGGUACCACAUCUCGCAAAGAAGGGACCGCUGCCAAUGCUGUUCACGGCGAGGUCCUUUUGGCGUCCCCACAUCACCGGUUGUGGGAAAGAUGCACCUCGAUGUUAAAGGGGCAGGUCUUGGAGUCGGUCAGUAUGGAAGUUCGAGGGCACAGCUCCAAAGUGACAGGAGCUUACGGGCGUGGCAGUAAAACCUGCCGUUAAAAACCUGGAAAUUCCCAUCCAGCUCUUCAUCGGUGGCUGUCCUCCCACCCCCCCCACCCCCGCCCCAUGUUCACUUCCCUCGGCAUUACGGGUAUUAAAAUAAAAUGGCCUGCUGCAAA